UACGUAGGGUGCAAGCGUUAAUCGGAAUUACUGGGCGUAAAGCGUGCGCAGGCGGCUUUGCAAGACAGAUGUGAAAUCCCCGGGCUUAACCUGGGAACUGCAUUUGUGACUGCAUGGCUCGAGUACGGGUAGAGGGGGAUGGAAUUCCGCGUGUAGCAGUGAAAUGCGUAGAUAUGCGGAGGAACACCGAUGGCGAAGGCAGUCCCCUGGACCUGUACUGACGCCCAUGCACGAAAGCGUGGGGAGCAAACAGG
rnacentral:rRNA from 1 species